rnacentral:rRNA from 1 species
CAAGUCGAGGGGCAGCAUUUCAGUUUGCUUGCAAACUGAAGAUGGCGACCGGCGCACGGGUGAGUAACACGUAUCCAACCUGCCGAUAACUCCGGGAUAGCCUUUCGAAAGAAAGAUUAAUACCGGAUGGCAUAUGAUUAUCGCAUGAUAAUCCUAUUAAAGAAUUUCGGUUAUCGAUGGGGAUGCGUUCCAUUAGUUUGUUGGCGGGGUAACGGCCCACCAAGACCGCGAUGGAUAGGGGUUCUGAGAGGAAGGUCCCCCACAUUGGAACUGAGACACGGUCCAAACUCCUACGGGAGGCAGCAGUGAGGAAUAUUGGUCAAUGGACGGGAGUCUGAACCAGCCAAGUAGCGUGAAGGAUGACUGCCCUAUGGGUUGUAAACUUCUUUUAUACGGGAAUAAAGUGGUCCACGUGUGGAUUUUUGUAUGUACCGUAUGAAUAAGGAUCGGCUAACUCCGUGCCAGCAGCCGCGGUAAUACGGAGGAUCCGAGCGUUAUCCGGAUUUAUUGGGUUUAAAGGGAGCGUAGGUGGACAGUUAAGUCAGUUGUGAAAGUUUGCGGCUCAACCGUAAAAUUGCAGUUGAUACUGGCUGUCUUGAGUACAGUAGAGGUGGGCGGAAUUCGUGGUGUAGCGGUGAAAUGCUUAGAUAUCACGAAGAACUCCGAUUGCGAAGGCAGCUCACUGGACUGCAACUGACACUGAUGCUCGAAAGUGUGGGUAUCAAACAGGAUUAGAUACCCUGGUAGUCCACACAGUAAACGAUGAAUACUCGCUGUUUGCGAUAUAGUGUAAGCGGCCAAGCGAAAGCGUUAAGUAUUCCACCUGGGGAGUACGCCGGCAACGGUGAAACUCAAAGGAUUGACGGGGGCCCGCACAAGCGGAGGAACAUGUGGUUUAAUUCGAUGAUACGCGAGGAACCUUACCCGGGCUUAAAUUGCAUUUGAAUAAUCAGAAAUUGGUUAGUCGUAAGACAAAU